AAGACCUUGCGCUUUUGGAGCGGCCGAUGCCUGAUUAGCUUGUUGGUAAGGUAAAAGCUUACCAAGGCUUCGAUCAGUAGCUGGUCUGAGAGGACGGCCAGCCACACUGGGACUGAGACACGGCCCAGACUCCUACGGGAGGCAGCAGUGGGGAAUUUUGGACAAUGGGGGCAACCCUGAUCCAGCCAUGCCGCGUGAGUGAAGAAGGCCUUCGGGUUGUAAAGCUCUUUCAGCCGGAACGAAACGGUUACGGUUAAUACCCGUGAUUACUGACGGUACCGGAAGAAGAAGCACCGGCUAACUACGUGCCAGCAGCCGCGGUAAUACGUAGGGUGCGAGCGUUAAUCGGAAUUACUGGGCGUAAAGCGUGCGCAGGUGGUUUUGUAAGUCAGAUGUGAAAGCCCCGGGAUCAACCUGGGAACU
rnacentral:rRNA from 1 species